rnacentral:rRNA from 1 species
CCAAUAGCGUAUAUUAAAGUUGUUGCAGUUAAAAAGCUCGUAGUUGAAUUUCGGGAUUUAUCCGUCGGUCGGGCUUUUGGGUCUGUACUGGCGUGAUGGAUUCCUACCUUCUGAAUAACCGGCAUGUCAUUAAUUUGGUGCGCCGGGGAAGCAGGACUGUUACCUUGAAAAAAUUAGAGUGCUUAAAGCAGGCUUAUGCCUGAAUACAUUAGCAUGGAAUAAUGAAAUAGGACGGCAUGGUUCUAUUUUGUUGGUUUCUAGGAUCACCGUAAUGAUUAAUAGGGGAUAGUUGGGGGCAUUAGUAUUCAAUUGUCAGAGGUGAAAUUCUUGGACUUAUUGAAGACUAACUUCUGCGAAAGCAUUUGCCAAGGAUGUUUUCAUUAAUCAAGAACGAAAGUUAGGGGAUCGAAGACGAUCAGAUACCGUCGUAGUCUUAACCAUAAACUAUGCCGACUAGGGAUCGGACGAUGUUAAUUUUUUAAUGACUCGUUCGGCGCCUUACG